GUCUCUAUGGCUCAGUCGGUAGAGCGUUGGUCUCAUAUUUCUUCAUCAAUAUGACCCUGCCUUGAGGUCGGGACAUCCAAAGGUCGCAAGUUCGAGCCUUGCUAGGGACA
rnacentral:tRNA from 2 species